rnacentral:rRNA from 1 species
UACGUAGGGUGCAAGCGUUGUCCGGAAUUAUUGGGCGUAAAGAGCUCGUAGGCGGUUUGUCGCGUCGAAUGUGAAAACCCGGGGCUCAACCCCGGGCCUGCAUUCGAUACGGGCGGGCUGGAGUUCGGUAGGGGAGACUGGAAUUCCUGGUGUAGCGGUGAAAUGCGCAGAUAUCAGGAGGAACACCGGUGGCGAAGGCGGGUCUCUGGGCCGAUACUGACGCUGAGGAGCGAAAGCGUGGGGAGCAAACAGG